GACCUCGAAUCAGGUAGGAGUACCCGCUGAACUUAA
rnacentral:rRNA from 1 species